UCAAGUGUCCCUGCGAGGUUCAAUCCUCGCGCGUGUGGUCGAGAUUCUUGAUGCUCCCGGAAAUAUGUUAUUCAUCCUUUCUUUCGACAGUUAUCUCGUGAUUUCUUGCUAUGUGCCAAGCACUGCUGUAAAUGCUAAGAAGACAACAGUGAACAAAACAGACAAAAAUCCUUGUCCCCAUGGAGUGGACAUUCGAGUUGGGGAAGGCAGAUAAUCAAAUAAGACUGAAUACUUAAGCCUGGAAGACAGCCUCUCAGAGAGCUCUGGGGGAUUGCGCCAAAGAGGGGACAUGGGUUCGAGCCCUGGUCCGGGAAGAUGCUACAUGCCGCAGAGCAGCUAAGCCCGUGAGCCACAACUACUGAAACCCGCACACCUAGAGCCCGUGCUCCGCAACAAGAGAAACCACCACAAUGAGAAGCCUGUGCACCACAAUGAAGGGUAGCUCCUGCUUGCUGCAACUAGAGAAAGCCCACGCACAGCAACGAAGACCCAAUGCAGCCAAUUAAUUAAUUAAUUAAUUUAAAAAAUAGAAAAUUAUUUGUGGGAAGACAUUCGGGAACCUUUUUGUAACCUUGAAAAUGUUGAAGUAUGUGGGCCGAGCGAUGGGAUUCAGGGUGUCCUGCUUGAGCGGUGGAGGAGCUGAGGGUGCGGGGCGUGGAGACUAAUAUCACCCUGUUUGGUCCUGAAGGAUGGCUGGUUAGCCAAAGACGGGUAAGAUUCCUCAGAGGAGGAACAACCUAAGACAGGCACAGCCGCAGAGGGGCCAACAGGGGUGGUGCAUAGAACCUUCCUUAUAUCACCGUGUUUGGCCCUGGAGGAUGACUGGUUAGCCAGAGACGGGUAAGAUUCCUCAAGGGAGGAACAACCUAAGACAGGCACAGUCGCAGAGGGGCCAACACGGGUGGGGCACAGACCCUUAAUCCUUUAGAGAGAGGUCUCCUGCCCCCAGGGCUGUUCUGCUCUCCACCCCCAGCUCAAAUCCACACCUGCUCAACUCGGACCCAGGAAGUAAACAAAGAUAAUUGCCUCAGUCAUGUGAGGCCCUUGAUUGUUUAUGAGUGUAACCUGAGAAUGUUAGCCCACGAACUCAAUAAAAGCAACCUGGGAUGAGUCAGCAGGGCUCUUGAUCCGAGAGGUCUUGAGCCC